CUGGCGGAAUGCUUACACAUGCAAGUCGAACGGCAGCGACGGGAGCAAUCCUGGUGGCGGAGUGGGCGAACGGGUGAGUAAUAUAUCGGAACGUGCCCAGUCGUGGGGGAUAACGUAGCGAAAGCUACGCUAAUACCGCAUACGAUCUAUGGAUGAAAGCGGGGGAUCGCAAGACCUCGCGCGAUUGGAGCGGCCGAUAUCAGAUUAGGUAGUUGGUGAGGUAAAGGCUCACCAAGCCGACGAUCUGUAGCUGGUCUGAGAGGACGACCAGCCACACUGGGACUGAGACACGGCCCAGACUCCUACGGGAGGCAGCAGUGGGAAUUUUGGACAAUGGGCGCAAGCCUGAUCCAGCAAUGCCGCGUGCAGGAUGAAGGCCUUCGGGUUGUAAACUGCUUUGUACGGAACGAAACGGUGAGCUCUAAUACAGUUUGCUAAUGACGGUACCGUAAGAAUAAGCACCGGCUAACUACGUG
rnacentral:rRNA from 1 species